UACGUAGGGUGCGAGCGUUAAUCGGAAUUACUGGGCGUAAAGUGUGCGCAGGUGGCCGCGCAAGUCGAGUGUGAAAUCCCCGAGCUUAACCUGGGAACAGCAUUUGAGACUGGCGAACUAGAAUCUGGCAGAGGGGGGUGGAAUUCCACGUGUAGCAGUGAAAUGCGUAGAGAUGUGGAGGAACACCGAUGGCGAAGGCAGCCCCCUGGGCUGAGAUUGACGCUCAGGCACGAAAGCGUGGGGAGCAAACAGG
rnacentral:rRNA from 1 species